AGAGUUUGAUCCUGGCUCAGGACGAUUGCUGGCGGCGCGCCUAACACAUGCAAGUCGAACGAGCGAGAGAGAGCUUGCUUUCUCGAGCGAGUGGCGAACGGGUGAGUAACGCGUGAGGAACCUGCCUCAAAGAGGGGGACAACAGUUGGAAACGACUGCUAAUACCGCAUAAGCCCACGACCCGGCAUCGGGUUGAGGGAAAAAGGAGCAUUCCGCUUUUGAGAUGCCCUCGCUUCGGAUAAGCUAGUGGGUGAGGUAAUGGCCCACCAAGGCGACGAUCGGUAGCCGGAUUGAGAGGUUGAACGGCCACAUUGGGAUUGAGACACGGCCCAGACUCUUACGGGAGGCAGCAGUGGGGAAUAUUGCACAAUGGGGGAAACCUUGAUGCAGCGACGCCGCGUGGAGGAAGAAGGUCUUCGGAUUGUAAACUCCUGUUGUUGAGGAAGAUAAUGACGGUACUCAACAAGGAAGUGACGGCUAACUACGUGCCAGCAGCCGCGGUAAAACGUAGGUCACAAGCGUUGUCCGGAAUUACUGGGUGUAAAGGGAGCGCAGGCGGGAAGACAAGUUGGAAGUGAAAUCUAUGGGCUCAACCCAUAAACUGCUUUCAAAACUGUUUUUCUUGAGUAGUGCAGAGGUAGGCGGAAUUCCCGGUGUAGCGGUGGAAUGCGUAGAUAUCGGGAGGAACACCAGUGGCGAAGGCGGCCUACUGGGCACCAACUGACGCUGAGGCUCGAAAGUGUGGGUAGCAAACAGGAUUAGAUACCCUGGUAGUCCACACCGUAAACGAUGAUUACUAGGUGUUGGAGGAUUGACCCCUUCAGUGCCGCAGUUAACACAAUAAGUAAUCCACCUGGGGAGUACGACCGCAAGGUUGAAACUCAAAGGAAUUGACGGGGGCCCGCACAAGCAGCGGAGCAUGUGGUUUAAUUCGAAGCAACGCGAAGAACCUUACCAGGUCUUGACAUCCGUGUAAAGCCGCAGAGAUGCGGUGUGAGCUUGCUCAAUACGAGACAGGUGGUGCAUGGUUGUCGUCAGCUCGUGUCGUGAGAUGUUGGGUUAAGUCCCGCAACGAGCGCAACCCUUAUCGUCCGUUACUAACGCGUAGAGGCGAGGACUCAGACGAGACCGCCGGGGACAACUCGGAGGAAGGUGGGGACGACGUCAAAUCAUCAUGCCCCUUACGACCUGGGCUACACACGUGCUACAAUGGGUACAACAAAGAGAAGCGAGACCGCAAGGUGGAGCAAAACUCAGAAAAGUACUCUCAGUUCAGAUUGUGGGCUGCAACCCGCCCACAUGAAGUUGGAGUUGCUAGUAAUCGCGGAUCAGCAUGCCGCGGUGAAUACGUUCCCGGGCCUUGCACACAACGCCCGUCA
rnacentral:rRNA from 1 species